UUGCUUUAACCAUUUUAUAAAAGGUCUAACAUGCAUACAUUCAGCGCAUUCUCUGGAGCUGGUAUUUCACUGAGUACGCUCUUCCUGUAGCUAAAUCUAUUUUCAUCUUCCAAGAAUUACAUCUGAAUUAUGUCCCACAGAGGCUUCUUAACAUGCACUUGUGCUUGAUUUGAAUAGAUGUUUGAUAAUAUUUAGAAAUAUUUUGAAUAACUUCCUCUAUUAUCAGUUUAUAGGUAUGAUUUGGAGGAAAUUUUCCCUUCAGAUUUGCAAUAUGAAGAUUAAGGGAGAGCUAUUGAAUAACAUGUUUCGACAAAUUGUUCGCGAAAUAUUUGGCUUAACAGCCCUGGAGAUCUGCUGCGCGGCAUUAUAAAGAUAAAAGAAUCUCUCGGACGUUGCUAACAUCUGAUGAUGAGGUUAGAAUCCAACUGUGCUGUCUGUUUUAUUUAAUUAUAUUAUUGUUCACAGUUGAGGGUUAUAUGGGUUAUUAAAUCCUAUAAUUACUUGGAGAGUUAUUAGUUAGGUUUUCGGAUUCGGAUAUUUCGAGUGCUAUGAAAAUUUUCUGGACCAUCUUACCUCCUCCCUCCAGAAGUGAGAGCUAUAAGUGAAUUUUAUUGAUGAUAAUCAGGUCAGCUAUUGCAGUAAACUAUGCUUCCAUCAAGAACCGCAAAUACAGUUUCAUUGGUACUAUCUAUAUCAUGUUUCUGGGCUCAGGUAAAAUUUCUUGUGAAUUGGAGACUUUUGCUAUGAGGCCGCUCUUCUAUUGUUUGGGAAUAAAUAAAAGUUAUUCAAUGGUCUUUUCCUA